rnacentral:lncRNA from 1 species
UUUGUGUUGUUGAAUGAAAGUAAUGCGUGCAUAAGGUCCUAAGGGGGAGAUCGAGAUGCCAGACGUUCGGAUUUUUCUGCAUUGUUGAUACUGGUGUGUAUGCCAAUGGAUGCUAGUUGUGAGAACUGGUCAGCCACGAGUAUUUCAGUUAUAUUAUAAAUGUAUUUACAUGAUUAUUUGGAAAAUGAUUUUAGUCUUAUACGGAAGUGAUUACAUAGUUUGAAUGUAAAAGUGCAUUUUUCUUCUUCUUGAAUUUGUAUAUGGAUAACACAUAAAUUUUGAUAAAAUUGGGAAAUUUUCUUUUUGAGGGCGGGAUGUUAUGUAUCUGUAUUGUAUGGUCGUAUGUGUUUUGUAGUUUAGUCGUAAGAGUUGUGUCCCUUUGUACAUGUUGUAUGAUGAUGAUGCAUAUUUGUCAUGUGAUGUUAUCAGUCUCUUUGAAAUAAACGUGCUAUGGAAAUAGACAUCUUUUUGUUGCUCUUAAGCAAAUAUAACUUUAGCGGCAUGGGGAGGCAAGUAUAUGUCCCCCGAUGUACGUAAUACAAAUUUGAUAAAGUUAAAAUCUUUUGAUAAGCAUUGUCUUCUUACUUUGCUGCAGAGCCCUAGCUCUUAAGUUCUUUAGAAUUUUUAUUUUUAUUUAAAAAUUUUGGAAUUGCAACCCAGGUUCAGCAUGUUCAGGUCAUAUUUAUUUCCCCAAAAAAUUUAAUGUCUUAAUUACUUCUUUCCGUAAAGCUCUUUUUG